AAGCAGGGAAUGACCCUGAGGAAAGUUUCUGCUUGGAGAAUCAGCUCAGGUGCUGCAGCAGCAGAGGCAAGAAGGACCUUCAAAGGGAGCAACUGCAGGAAAGGAUGAGAUUCAGCUCCACAGCCAGAUGGGAAGGGUGGAGAGAACCACCAGAACCAAAGCUCAGGAGGUUGCAGGCAGAGCUGCUGGAGGAAAGGGCUGGGUGGAAGAGAAGGAAGCCCUGCCCCAGCACUCAGACGCCCCAGUGCUCACCACCUCCAGCACUAGAGGACUCAAAGUGUAAUAGGAGGGAAGGAACCCACAGCACAGAGCAGUCAAGAAUCCAAGGCGGGUGAGUCACCAAUAACUAGUUCAAAGGAACACCUCAAGGAUC